rnacentral:rRNA from 1 species
CAGAGGGUGCAAGCGUUGUCCGGAAUUACUGGGCGUAAAGCGCGCGCAGGCGGAUCCUGCAAGUCAGAAGUGAAGUCUCACUGCUCAACGGUGAGGCUGCUUUUGAUACUGCGGAUCUGGAGACCGGUAGAGGCUGGUAGAAUUGCAGGUGUAGCGGUGGAAUGCGUAGAGAUCUGCAAGAAUACCCGUGGCGAAGGCGGCCAGCUGGGCCGGUUCUGACGCUGAGGCGCGAAAGCGUGGGGAGCAAACAGGAUUAGAUACCCUGGUAGUCCACGCCGUAAACGAUGGGCACUAGGUGCUGGGGGGAGCGACCCCGUCAGUGCCGUAGCUAACGCGAUAAGUGCCCCGCCUGGGGAGUACGGCCGCAAGGCUG